UGCAUUCACAAUUGUAAGUCGCUCUGGAUAAGAGUGUCUGCUAAAUGACUAAAA
rfam:Salmo salar isolate Sally breed double haploid chromosome ssa20, whole genome shotgun sequence.